rnacentral:rRNA from 1 species
GUGGGGAAUAUUGGACAAUGGGCGAAAGCCUGAUCCAGCCAUGCCGCGUGUGUGAAGAAGGUCUUCGGAUUGUAAAGCACUUUAAGUUGGGAGGAAGGGCAGUAAGUUAAUACCUUGCUGUUUUGACGUUACCGACAGAAUAAGCACCGGCUAACUCUGUGCCAGCAGCCGCGGUAAUACAGAGGGUGCAAGCGUUAAUCGGAAUUACUGGGCGUAAAGCGCGCGUAGGUGGUUCGUUAAGUUGGAUGUGAAAGCCCCGGGCUCAACCUGGGAACUGCAUCCAAAACUGGCGAGCUAGAGUACGGUAGAGGGUGGUGGAAUUUCCUGUGUAGCGGUGAAAUGCGUAGAUAUAGGAAGGAACACCAGUGGCGAAGGCGACCACCUGGACUGAUACUGACACUGAGGUGCGAAAGCGUGGGGAGCAAACAGGAUUAGAUACCCCUGUAGUCC